GCUGAUCGCAGAGAUAGAGAAGUGUCAGCAACCAGUUUUUGAGCUGCUAAAGGAUGUGAAAAGCACAUUGAGCAGGAGUGAGAAUGUGAAACUCCAGGAACCAGAAGCAGUUUCUACUGACCUGAAGACUGUGUAUAAAAUUUCCCUUGACAUGAGGGAGGCGCUGAAGAGAUUCGGAGGUGAGUGGAUUCUACUGGGACAUUCAGCUGUAUUGUGCCUGGGGAUCUGGACAGGGCCUGGGACCCCAGGACACGCAUGGACCCAGCUGACAGGCUUGGAGCUGUUUGAUAGCUGGAGGCUGAUGUGCUCAGUGCUGGGCAGUUUGCCUGCUACUUACAGCCACCUGCUGGUACUUGUCCAGGUAUCUGACCAGGCCCCGUCACUCUGACAUCCUGACCCCUCCAUGGCUGAGUUAAUGGGUGUCACUGAGCCAGGAGCCGUGAGGCCUGGACUGGGCCCAUUGUGCUGGGUGCUGCACAGACUGGUAACGGAGGACGUGUCUGUGCCUCUCUCCUGGGACAUGUGAGGGCUGCGUUAU